CCUUGAAAUCUCGAAAGAUCUCACAACUCCCUUCAAACGGCUCUAAUCUCCCCUCCAAAGAAUAUCAAUGGCAAGAAGAAGGUUGAAGAUGGCUCCCACAAUCAAAAAGAUUGUUAAAACAACUUCUAAAGAAAACACAAGAGAAAAUCCUUGAAGAACUCAAAGAGAAUUUUCACUCAAAUCAAAUCUGAAAUUUUCAAUGUAAUUGUAACGUAAUGUAGGGUGGCUGGCCAAGCCAUAUAAAUAGGCCUUUCAAAUGUUUUCCUAAUUUAAUUAGAACACUAAAACUAAAACUAAAAAAAAAACUCCUAAUUAUUUUAAUAUGGAAAUUCGGCUAAGGGUCUUUUAUUUGGGACUCUUGGACUGAAUAUAAAAAUUUAAACUAAGUAAAAUAAAUAAAUAAAUAAAUAAAAAUAAAACUUUACAACUUGGGCCACUUUGAC
rnacentral:lncRNA from 1 species